GAAGGUAUAGCUCAGUGGUAGAGUGAAUGAUUAGCAUGCUCAAGGUCCUGGGUUCAAUCCCCAGUACCUCUG
rnacentral:tRNA from 1 species